rnacentral:rRNA from 1 species
GUGGGGAAUCUUCCACAAUGGACGAAAGUCUGAUGGAGCAACGCCGCGUGAGUGAAGAAGGUCUUCGGAUCGUAAAGCUCUGUUGUCAGGGACGAAUGUUGAGACUGUGAAUAAUGGUUUCAAAUGACGGUACCUGACGAGGAAGCCACGGCUAACUACGUGCCAGCAGCCGCGGUAAUACGUAGGCGGCGAGCGUUGUCCGGAAUUAUUGGGCGUAAAGGGAGCGCAGGUGGGAAAGUAAGUCUGUCUUAAAAGUGCGGGGCUCAACCCCGUGAGGGGACAGAAACUAUUUUUCUUGAGUGCAGGAGAGGAAAGCGGAAUUCCUAGUGUAGCGGUGAAAUGCGUAGAUAUUAGGAGGAACACCAGUGGCGAAGGCGGCUUUCUGGACUGUAACUGACACUGAGGCUCGAAAGCCAGGGGAGCGAACGGGAUUAGAAACCCUGGUAGUCC